GACGAACGCUGGCGGCGUGCUUAACACAUGCAAGUCGAACGGAAAGGCUCUGCUUUUGGGGGGUGCUCGAAUGGCGAACGGGAGAGUAACACGUGAGUACCCUGCCUUUGAGAUUGGUACAACUUCUGGAAACUGGGGCUAAUUCUGGAUAGCUGCUCCUGUUGCAUGGUGGGGGUUGGAAAGUCUUCGCGGUUGGGGAUGGACGCGCGGCUUAUCAGUGUGUUGGUGGGGUAGUGGCAUACCAAGGCUGGGACGGGUAGCCGGCCUGAGAGGGUGACCGGCCACAUUGGGACUGAGAGACGGCCCAGACUCCUACGGGAGGCAGCAGUGGGGAAUAUUGCGCAAUGGGCGGAAGCCUGAUGCAGCGACGCCGCGUGGGGGAUGACGGCCUUCGGGUUGUAAACCGCUUUCGCCUGGGACGAAGCGUGAGUGACGGUAAUGGGUGAAGAAGCACCGGCUAACUACGUG
rnacentral:rRNA from 1 species